GAACACUACAAGCAAUAGCUUAAAACUCAAAGGACUUGGCGGUGCUUUAUAUCCCUCUAGAGGAGCCUGUUCUAUAAUGGAUAAAACCCAAUUUACCUCACCACUUCUUGCUCAGCCUAUAUACCACCAUCUUCAGCAAACCCUAGUAAAGGCUGCAAAGUAAGCACAAGUAUCUACAUAAAAAUGUUAGGUCAAGGUGUAGCCCAUGGUGGUAAGAAAUGGGCUAAAUUUUCUACACCCAGAAAAUCUCACGACAACCCUUAUGAAAUCUAAGGGCUCAGGGAGGAUUUAGCAGUACAUUAAGAGCAGAGUGCUUAAUUGAAUGAGACCAUAAAGCACACACACACUGCCUGUCACCCUCCUCAAAUAUUACUUUAGAGAUUAGUUUAACUAAAACCCCUACUUAUUUAUAUAGAGGAGACAAGUCGUAACAUGGUAAGUGUACUGGAAAGUGCACUUG
rnacentral:ncRNA from 1 species